UUGCGACUGGCAUCCGCAUCCGGCAGAUGUAGAUGGAACCAAAGUCCAGAAGUUACGCGUCACCCUUGCUCUACAGCCAAACAUGCAGGACUCUAGUAACCCGCGAAAUGAUGGGAUAGCGUUGCAAAUCCUUAAAAGAGUCUUAACGGAGAAGGGAAAAUGUUACAUUGUCAAAGUCCCAAAGCCUUUCAGCCUGAAGCCAGGAACAAUUGUUCAAAGUUUCUUUGGAACAUCAAGGAAGGAAAUCCAGAUUUUACUUUAAGUGCAAUGGGGAGUCAUUAAGGAUUUUGUGUAGAUACAGCAAAAAGACAACAAUCUUCAAGCCACAAUGGCCCUCACCAGAACCCAGCCAUGUGGUCAGCCUGAUCUCGGACUUCACAGCCAGCAGAACUGUUUGUCAAAGAUCAGAUGGUUUCCUUAAGCUGAUAAGCAACUUCAACAAAGUCUCAGGAUACAAAAUCAAUGUGCAAAAAUCAUAAGCAUUCUUAUACACCAAUAACAGACAAACAGCCAAAUCAUGAGUGAACUUCCAUUCAUAAUUGCACAAAGAGAAUCAAAUACCUAGGAAUCCAGCUUACAAGGGAUGUGAAGGACCUCUUCAAGGAGAACUACAAACCACUGCUCAAUGAAAUAAAAGGGGACACAAACAAAUGGAAGAACAUUCCAUGCUCAUGGUUAGGAAGAAUCAAUAUCGUGAAAAUGGCCAUACUGCCCAAGAUAAUUUAUAGAUUCAAUGCCAUCCCCAUCAAGCUACCAAUGACUUUCUUCACAGAAUUGGAAGAAACUACGUUAAAGUUCAUAUGGAACCAGAAAAGAGCCUGCACUGCCAAGACAACCCUAAGCAAAAAGAACAAAGCUGGAGGCAUCAUGCCACCUGACUUCAAACUAUACUACAAGGCUACAGUAACCAAAGCAGCAUGGUACUGGUACCAAAACAGAGAUAUAGACCAACGGAACAGAACAGAGGCCUCAGAAAUAACACCACGCAUCUACAGUCUAUGGUAUUUUACUAUGGAAGCCCACCCUAAGAUUUCAAUUUAGCUUCCAUGUAGUUCCCUGGUGCUUGGCAAUCUCCUGACUCACUACCUUGUCACAUGGUCUAUCCCAAGUCAGUCCUUCUCCUCUUCCCAUAUCCCCCUACUCCAAUAUUCACCCAUAUGUGGCCAAGUCUUCCUCCACCUGAGCUCCUUGCAGAGGAAUGAACAAUUGUUUGAACAUUAAUGAAUAUUAAAGUAAGUAAAGAAGAGACAAAUCUCCACUUGUUUUGAUAGUAGGGUGAUCUUUGGUGAGCUUAGGAAAAGUUUCAACCAAGUAGUCAUAGCAUGAUCCAAGUUAACAUGCAUUGAGCCAGGCGUGAUGGUUCAUGCCUGUAAUCCCAGCACUUUGGGAGGCUCAUGGGGGCAGAUCACUUGUGGUCAGGAGUUCACGACCAGCCUGGCCAACAUGGUGAAACCUCGUCUAUACUAAAAGUACAAAAAUUAGCCAGGCAUGGUGGUGCAUGCCUGUAAUCCCAGCUACUUGGGAGGCUGAGGCAGGAGAAUUGCUUGAACUUGGGAGGUGGAGGUUGAAGUGAGCCGAGAUCGUGCCACUGCACUUCAGCCUGGGCAAC
rnacentral:lncRNA from 1 species